GCAACGAGAUGGAGUAGGCUGGCGCCUUGGGAGAGCGAAUCGAGGGCGGCGGGGCCCAGCUGUGCUGCUGUGUCAACCUGAAGGCAUUAUGGAACAGGAGGCCCUGAGUACCUGUGGUGGGGUGAGGCCAGAGUGAGCUCUGGCUCAGAUGAUCAGGGAGAAGGCUGCACCAGUCUCAUUGGAUUCUUCACACCAGCUGGUGCUGAAGGUUCAGGGGUUGAAGUUGAAAGAAGCCCGUGGGGUCCUCCAUAAAGGACUCAAGGUGCUGGCCUUCCAACAGCCUGAGCUGGAAUCUUGCUCCAUUGCCCAGGCUGGAGUGCAAUGGUAUGAUUAUAGCUCACUGCAGUCUCAAGCUCCUGGGCUCAAGUGAUCCUCUUGCCUCAGCCUCCCAAUUCUUUCUACCACACUCCCGAGGAAGCUCCCAUGGACAAAGCCGGAUAAUCCGAAAGGCAUACCUGGAAGACUUUUACACCCGGAUGAUGCAUGAGUGCUAUCAGAUAUGGGCCCAGCUGGAGCAUGAGGCUGGAACCCAACUGUACAGGCAGACUGGAUUACUGCUGCUGGGAAUGAAAGAGAAUCAAGAAUUAAAGACAAUCCAGGCCAGUCUGUCGAGGCAGAGGGUAGAACACCAGUGUCUUUCAUCGGAGGAACUGAAGCAACGUUUCCCAAAUAUUCGGUUGCCCAGGGGAGAAGUGGGGCUGUUGGACAAUUCCGGAGGAGUUCUCUAUGCAUACAAGGCCCUCAGAGCCCUGCAGGAUGCAGUUCGACAGCUAGGAGGCAUAGUGCGUGAUGGAGAGAAGGUGGUGGAGAUAAACCCAGGGCUACUGGUCACGGUGAAAACCACCUCCAGGAGCUACCAAGCUAAGAGCUUGGUCAUCACAGCAGGUCCUUGGACCAACCAGCUCCUCCGUCCCCUGGGCAUUGAGCUGCCUCUCCAGACCCUGCGGAUCAACGUGUGUUACUGGCGAGAGAUGGUUCCUGGGAGCUAUGGUGUGUCCCAGGCCUUUCCAUGCUUCCUGUGGCUGGGCUUGUGUCCCCACCACAUCUACGGACUGCCCACAGGAGAGUACCCAGGGCUGAUGAAGGUCAGCUAUCACCACGGCAACCACGCAGACCCUGAGGAGCCGGACUGCCCCACAGCAUACACAGACAUCGGAGACGUCCAGAUCCUGAGCAGCUUUGUCAGAGAUCACUUACCUGAUCUGAAGCCCGAGCCUGCCGUCAUUGAGAGCUGCAUGUACACGAAUACCCCUGAUGAGCAGUUCAUUCUCGAUCGCCACCCAAAGUAUGACAACAUUGUCAUUGGUGCUGGAUUCUCUGGGCACGGGUUCAAGCUGGCGCCUGUGGUGGGGAAGAUCUUGUAUGAAUUAAGCAUGAAAUUAACACCAUCUUAUGACUUGGCACCUUUUCGAAUCAGCCGUUUCCCAAGCCUGGGCAAAGCCCACCUUUGACCUCUGGCCAGAAGCCUCCCUUCUGUGCACAGGAGCCAAUUUCACAGAUGGAGAAGAUGUCUCAGAUGAAGGGAGUGUCCCUAAGAUGUCAUCCUUUUCUUCUGCCUCGCCUGAAUCCCCCGUAAACACCAGACGAUUGAGUCUACCUUCUUUUCUUGGCCACCUCUCCAUUCACAACUACUUUCUUACUCCCAGAAGGUUGAUCAGAUAUUCUACAAUCAUAGAGUAGCAAGGACCUUUGAGAUGGAUAUAUCAGUAAGAAGAGGGCACAAGAACUGGCUCUGGAGACCAAAGCAGUUGUUA
rnacentral:sRNA from 1 species